GAUGAACGCUGGCGGCGUGCUUAACACAUGCAAGUCGAACGGAAAGGCUCCUGCUUGCAGGGGUACUCGAGUGGCGAACGGGUGAGUAACACGUGGGUGAUCUGCCCAGCACUUCGGGAUAAGCCUGGGAAACUGGGUCUAAUACCGGAUAGGACGAUGGUUUGGAUGCCAUUGUGGAAAGUUUUUUCGGUGUGGGAUGAGCUCGCGGCCUAUCAGCUUGUUGGUGGGGUAAUGGCCUACCAAGGCGUCGACGGGUAGCCGGCCUGAGAGGGUGUACGGCCACAUUGGGACUGAGAUACGGCCCAGGCUCCUACGGGAGGCAGCAGUGGGGAAUAUUGCACAAUGGGCGCAAGCCUGAUGCAGCGACGCCGCGUGGGGGAUGACGGCCUUCGGGUUGUAAACUCCUUUCGCUAGGGACGAAGCGCAAGUGACGGUACCUGGAGAAGAAGCACCGGCUAACUACGUG
rnacentral:rRNA from 1 species